UCUCAAUAAUUGUAGUGUGGGGGCUUAGUUGCCCCAUGGUACGUGGAAUCUUCCUGAUCAGAGAUCGAACCAGCGUCCUCUGUGUUUCAAGGCGGAUUUUUAACCACUGGACCACCAGGGAAGACUGGAAGAAACUCAAGCUAUGACUUCUUCCCUCUUGUUCUGCUGGUUUUGGAGCACUGCCAUUCUUACCCAAGGCUCAGUUCAGUUCAGUCACUCAGUCAUGUCCAAUUGUUUGUGACUGCAUAGACUGAAGCACACCAGACUCCCCUGUCCAUCACCAACUCCUGGAGCUUGCUCAAACUCAUGUCCAAACCCAAGGCUACUUGAGAGCCAUCUGAUGCUUAAGCUACUCUGUCUUUAUCAGGGCUAUGAGCAAUCAUUUAAGAAGUUUCAUCACCCUGUUAGAGAGACCACAUGGAGAGAUUGUGAGACAGCAUGGACAGAGCAUGAAACCUAGCUGCACCCAGGGUUCCAGAAAUCUCUACCAAGGCACCAGACAUAAAGGAAACCAUCCUGGCUCCACCAGAUCAACUUAGCCACCAGCUGGACAUCACUAGUAUGUAUCUCCAGCAUAGUGAUUCUCCAAGUAUGGUCUGAGGACCCUGGAGAAACCUGACACCUGAAAUCCAUUCAAAGGGCCUGGAAACUCCUCCUUUUUCCCACUACAUAUCUCCAUAAGGUUGAAUUUUCUUCAUAUAUGUCAACCAAAGUAACCACAACCGUAUCACAGUGAUGAAGCAAGUAAGAGAGUCUAGCUGUCUUAUAUUAAGGCAAACAUUACAGAGCUUUUCAAAAAAGAAAACAUUUCUAAAUAAUUUUUUUAUUUUACAAAAU